CUAGGGUUUGCUAUUGGAUUCACUUGGUAGGGAAUAGUUGGUUCCUAAAUAGGAUGGUUCAUAAAUAUGUAACACUCGUAGGGUUUAGUGUGUAUAGCAAAUGAUGCAAAAUAUUAGGCAUGGUUGCUAUUAGAGUUCAUCACAAUGGUGUGAUGCUAAGUAUGGUUAGUUAAGGUUGAUAUCUCUAAGGAUAGGAGCUAGGUUUUACACUUUGUUGAGUUGAACUAGAGGUGAUGGCUAAUGAUUAUUUGGUUUGGUAUCAUUCCCAUAAAUAUAUACUAUGGAAUGACCCCACUAACAAGGUAUGAUUAAUUCAUUGGAUAAGGGUUAACUUUGGACUAAUGAUGGAUUGGUGUAUACAAGUAAUACAUCACUCUAGCUAUGACCUUCUACACAAGAUCCAACCAUAAAAUUCCUACUUAUAAGUAUCAAACUGGUCAUGCAAAGGAAGUCAAACAAUUUCAUUUGGCUGAAAGAUGUUUAAUAAUAUGUCUUAAAGUGUGGUUUGAGUUUGCGUGUUUUUAGAUGUGAAAGCAAGUUCCUAGUAUAGAGUUAUAGCAACUCAUAUCAUAUAUAGGUUUAAGGAAUUAUUUUUAAGGCAUAAGAAUUUCCUAAAGUAUCUUGGAUUUAAUUUACUAAUUUGGGUGAAGGGAAACAUUCCUUACAAAUAUAAAUUGGUACUAGAAUAUAAUUUAAAACUAAUUAGUAUUUAUGUUAGAUUUUAUGGAAUUUCUUAUAUGCAAAUUUUAAUAAAAAUCAAAUUCUAAGUUGAAACCAUGUUUAAAUUAUUUGGAAAGUAUUUAUUACAGAUUAAAGUCAAAAUAAUAUUUUAAGCAUUUUAGGAACUCAAUUUAAUAUUAACAUGAAUAAUGUUCCUAAUCCAUAGAAGUUAGGAAACACCAUGUAUUUAUUUUUUUAAUACUUGUUUGGUAUUUGUGUAGAGAAACUUUUAUAGUUUUCAAUUUGUAACCAAAUAAUGAUACUAGCUUACACUAAUUUAGGUGUGAUGCAUCAUAUAAUUUGAUUAACUUAGCUAGGACACAAAUAUAUACACACUAGUGGAUUAAUUAUUAUAAUUAAUUGGCCAAUUAGUAUUCACGUACGUAUGCUAUUAUUGGGCUAGAGUUAAUUUGGGGUCAGUAUCCUACAUACACGCACAUGAGUACAUGACUCGGUCAGACCCGUACACGUACGAGUCCAACACAACCCAGCGCCUCACAUCUCUCUCUCACUCUCGUUCCUAUCUCUUUCUCCACCACGAGCACGCACACGACCAGGACACAAUCCUCGCACGCGCCUGUGAUGGCGCUGCCGCCACCCGCUGCUCCGGCCGUCGCCGGCCAGGUCCGGCACCGCCGCUCUCUAAUUUUACUUCGCCUCCAUCUCGUCUUCGAUUUCCCCACCGUCUCGAUGUUCGGCCGUGCUCCACGCACGACCCCUGCGAACCCUAGCCCGCCUUGGCCGCUGCCGGCCUACUCCGGCACCGGCAAGACAUUUUUCUGGCUCCCCUCGACGUCCUCUACCUCUCUGUCCCGUUCGAUUUGAUUUUCCGGCUCUACCUUGUCCGCCCCCAAACCUGGAAACCCUGGCGGUCGCUGGUUGGUUUGGCCGUCGCCGGCCAACCCCCGCGCCGCCGCUGGUCGCUGCUGCUGUCCGGUGAGGCUUCGCCCUCACCCGCCGCCUCGAUGCUGCCCUACGUGCGCGCGCCGCCCUGCUCCUGCUCACGCCCAGCGCUCCCUGGUGUGGCUCCGCCGCCAUCUUCUCCCGGCCAUUGAUGGCCGCCUUGGCGCCGCCUCGACAAGGUAUUCGCCGUCGGCCCUCACCACCUGGAUGCUCUCUGCUCCUGCGCGUGGCUCCGCCAUAGGAGUUGCUGCUGCCACCCACCGCCUCGACGCCUACUGCGGUGAACUGGUGGCGUGGCGGCUACUUCGUUCUCGACGCCGGCUGGACGGUGUUGUAGGCGCAACCCCGGCGUCGACCUCUUCCUCUAUUCGCCCGAACCACUCUAUUUUGCUGGAGCUGAUGGUUUCAAGAUGAACUGCUGAUGUGUGUGAGCUUAAAGAGCUUCUGAUAGAGAAUACCGUGAUGUAUGCACCCAACCGUUUGACUGGCUGUGAUGGCCCUGCUUUUAUACAGUUGGCUGUUCAUUGUGUGUGUGACAGCACACUAGCAUGCAAGGUGUGAUAGUGCUGCUUGCAAGUGGCCCCCUCUCCAUGUGUAUGUUAUCAAGUUGGUUUGCUUCUCCUCCUAGUGCUAGCAACGUCAGGUUGCUCUUAUCCUAGUUGGGCCUUUAUUGUUGAUACUGCCAGGUGUAUUACUUUGAUUGGAUGAGAAGUUACAUGUAUUUAAAUUGAUGGCUGAGACUUAUUAAUCAAUAUUUCUGGCUAUUGAUUCAUCUUGACUAACUAUUGUCAAUGGUGGAUUACUUAAUUAAAACAUGUGGGUUAGUUUUAAAUAGGAACUUGACUAGGUUAGAGGGAUCAAUUAGUUAUCUUUUUUGCCUAAGAUAAAUUGAUAAAUGUUGCCUCCUGUCCCUUUGCUAAGAUGGAUCAUACAAUGUUGCCUUGUCCCUUUUAUUGUAUGGAUAAAAUGCUGCCUUAAAUCCUUGUUGCCUACUUGUCGGGAAUGAUCUAAAGUGAUCCAAGUUUGAUCCAUGAUAUAUGUCUUGUUGCCAACAGAUUUAGGUUGAUCCCUCUAGCCACUAUUUGGAUACUAGGAUGAAUUCCUACUGUCUAAUAGUUGAGUUCCAAAAUUAAAAUGCCUCACCUUGGUGAUGGCAACAUCUUAACAUUAACCAUUGUUAUUUCUGUUUGCCUUUGUUUUCUUUGCAUCUUACAGGAAGAGGAAGAGAAGACUGGAAAGAUUGAGAAGAUUUAGAUUUAGGAAUUCUUUUAGUUCCAUUUUGUAAUCUCAUAAUUCUUUUGUAACUUGUAAUAUUUUAAUAAGUGUUGUAAUAAUACUUAAGUGAAUUGUUAUUUGUAAUAUUUGAUUCUCAUUUA